rnacentral:rRNA from 1 species
UACGAGUGGUCCAAGCAUUAUCCGGAAUUAUUGGGCGUAAAGGGUGUGUAGGUGGUAUAGUUAGUCUUUUGUCAAAGCUCCCGGCUUAACCGGGAGAAGGCGAAAGAUACGGCUAAACUAGGAGGGUGUAAGAGGCUUGCGGAACUCAUGGUGUAGGGGUGAAAUCCGUUGAUAUCAUGGGGAACGCCAAAUGCGAGGGCAGCAGGCUGGUACAUACCUGACACUGGAACACGAAAGCGUGGGUAGCGAACGGG